AGACCCGAAACCCGGUGAUCUAGCCAUGGGCAGGUUGAAGGUUGGGUAACACUAACUGGAGGACCGAACCGACUAAUGUUGAAAAAUUAGCGGAUGACCUGUGGCUGGGGGUGAAAGGCCAAUCAAACCGGGAGAUAGCUGGUUCUCCCCGAAAGCUAUUUAGGUAGCGCCUCGUGAAUUCAUCUCCGGGGGUAGAGCACUGUUUCGGCUAGGGGGCCAUCCCGGCUUACCAACCCGAUGCAAACUGCGAAUACCGGAGAAUGUUAUCACGGGAGACACACGGCGGGUGCUAACGUCCGUCGUGAAGAGGGAAACAACCCAGACCGCCAGCUAAGGUCCCAAAGUCAUGGUUAAGUGGGAAACGAUGUGGGAAGGCCCAGACAGCCAGGAUGUUGGCUUAGAAGCAGCCAUCAUUUAAAGAAAGCGUAAUAGCUCACUGGUCGAGUCGGCCUGCGCGGAAGAUGUAACGGGGCUAAACCAUGCACCGAAGCUGCGGCAGCGAACGUAUCACCCAAGACAACUUUACGGAGUUGACGAUUGACGGAGCGAAGCGACGUCAAAGCGUUCAUUAAAGUCGAGUUGGCUUAGGGAUACGUUCGUUGGGUAGGGGAGCGUUCUGUAAGCCUGUGAAGGUGUGUCGUGAGGCAUGCUGGAGGUAUCAGAAGUGCGAAUGCUGACAUAAGUAACGAUAAAGCGGGUGAAAAGCCCGCUCGCCGGAAGACCAAGGGUUCCUGUCCAACGUUAAUCGGGGCAGGGUGAGUCGACCCCUAAGGCGAGGC
rnacentral:rRNA from 2 species